rnacentral:lncRNA from 1 species
CUCCGGGCACAGACUUCGCUCCGCCCAGCGCCACGCGCGUUCCUGUCCACCGCCUGCGCGCCGCGUCCCGAGCCGCAAAAUCUGAUAGGGGGAAAAUCUGCAACGGCGGCCUGGGCCGCCAUAUUGCGGAGCUGUCAGCGCCCGCCGCGCUCCGACACUCGUUCCGCCGCGAGCAGCGCGGGCGGCCCCCGCAGCGGCAACCUGCCCCGCUGCCAGGGGGAGCUGCGCGGCGGGCGGGAAACGCCCGUCAUCGAGCAUCUCGGUCGCCGUUCCCGAGCCUCGUCCCCUCCCGACGCCGGGGGGAGCGGCAGCCCCAGGCAGGUGCUGAGAGCUCGAAGCCUGUGGAGCACCCUGAGAAGUGACUUCUAGAGGUAGGCCCUGCGCUGUCACACAGGGCCCUGCUGAUGCUGAGGCUCCGUUUUCCAUCAUCUCAGGCCCCCUGUCCCCUCCUCACCUGCCCCCUGCCCCGCGCUGUGUGCAUGAAUGUUCCUUUUGAAAACAGCUGCUGCAUAAAUUAUCUGUCAGAAUUUUGGCAUCGUGCACUUUCUGCACCAUCGCUUUCUGGAUAAAGCUUUCUUUGUCGUCUCUCAACAAUUGCUUUAUUUGUUGGCUUCCGUGGCAUAACUGGGAACAUGGAUGAUAAUGAUUGCAAAAAAUGGAGCUGCUAUGUUGUUAAAUGAAUUGAAAUCUCAGUUGUUCAUUUGAAGAGAAUUUCUGUUUGGGUUGUGAUGCGCGGCAGCUGACCCUGUGGUGACUCACUGCGGAGAUGGAUCACAGCAGCACGUGCCGUGAAGGCCUCGAGGCCUGGGGAGCUGCAGCAGCUCUGCACCCACAGCACCACGGAGCUGGUGUGGAAUAGGGGUGAUGAUAAAACUGGACAUGUCAUCAACUGCAUCAGAGCAAAAAGCUCAAUGAGAGCCAAAAUGAUUGUGUCCACUAAGUGUAAAUUGGGUACAUGUAAAUGGCAGAAGUGAGCUCCUACUGCCGUGAUAAUAGUGGAGAUGACAGUGUUUUGCCUGGUGGUGAUAUUUGCUUUCUUUCCAUCAAAUAUUUUUGUUAUAUUAUUUCAUUAUAUUGGGCUUGUUCAGCCUAGAGAAGAGAAGGUUGCGGGGUGACCUCAUUGCAGCCUUUCAAUACCUGAAGGGAACCUACACCCAGGAGGGGAGUAAACUCUUCGAAAGGGCUGACAAUAGCAGGACACGGGGAAAUGGUUUUAAGUUAAAAGAGGGAAGAUUUAGGUUGGAUGUUAGGGGGAAGUUCUUCACUAGGAGAGUGGUUAGGCCCUGGAACAGGCUGCCCAGGGAGGUUGUGGAUGCCCCGUCCUUGGAGGUGUUCAAGACCAGGUUGGACAGGGCCCUGGGCAACCUGAUCUAGUAAAGGUGUAUGUUUGGUGGCCCUGCUAGGCAGGGGGGUUGGAACUGCAUGAUCCUUGAGGUCCCUUCCAACCCGGGUCAUUCUGUGAUUCUGUUAUAUUUGUUUUAAUGCUAAUAAAUGCCAAUAAUUGGGAAGUUGGGGUGUUUUU